UGAGUAACACGUAUCCAACCUGCCGUCUACUCUUGGACAGCCUUCUGAAAGGAAGAUUAAUACAAGAUGGCAUCAUGAGUCCACAUGUUCACAUGAUUAAAGGUAUUCCGGUAGACGAUGGGGAUGCGUUCCAUUAGAUAGUAGGCGGGGUAACGGCCCACCUAGUCUUCGAUGGAUAGGGGUUCUGAGAGGAAGGUCCCCUACAUUGGAACUGAGACACGGUCCAA
rnacentral:rRNA from 1 species